UACGAAGGGGGCUAGCGUUGCUCGGAAUGACUGGGCGUAAAGGGCGCGUAGGCGGCGGCCAAAGUCAGGCGUGAAAUUCCUGGGCUCAACCUGGGGGCUGCGCUUGAUACUUGGUUGCUUGAGUGGGGAAGAGGGUCGUGGAAUUCCCAGUGUAGAGGUGAAAUUCGUAGAUAUUGGGAAGAACACCGGUGGCGAAGGCGGCGACCUGGUCCUUGACUGACGCUGAGGCGCGAAAGCGUGGGGAGCAAACAGG
rnacentral:rRNA from 1 species